UACGAAGGGGGCUAGCGUUGUUCGGAAUCACUGGGCGUAAAGCGCUUGUAGGCGGAUCGUUAAGUCAGGGGUGAAAUCCCGAGGCUCAACCUCGGAACUGCCUCUGAUACUGGCAAUCUUUGAGUCCGGGAGAGGUGAGUGGAACUCCGAGUGUAGAGGUGAAAUUCGUAGAUAUUCGGAAGAACACCAGUGGCGAAGGCGGCUCACUGGCCCGGUACUGACGCUUAAGAGCGAAAGCGUGGGGAGCAAACAGG
rnacentral:rRNA from 1 species